rnacentral:rRNA from 1 species
AGUGAACGCUGGCGGUAGGCCUAACACAUGCAAGUCGAACGGCAGCACAGAGGAGCUUGCUCCUUGGGUGGCGAGUGGCGGACGGGUGAGGAAUACAUCGGAAUCUACUCUGUCGUGGGGGAUAACGUAGGGAAACUUACGCUAAUACCGCAUACGACCUACGGGUGAAAGCAGGGGAUCUUCGGACCUUGCGCGAUUGAAUGAGCCGAUGUCGGAUUAGCUAGUUGGCGGGGUAAAGGCCCACCAAGGCGACGAUCCGUAGCUGGUCUGAGAGGAUGAUCAGCCACACGGGAACUGAGACACGGUCCAGCCUCCUACGGGAGGCAGCAGUGGGGAAUAUUGGACAAUGGGCGCAAGCCUGAUCCAGCCAUACCGCGUGGGUGAAGAGGGCCUUCGGGUUGUAAAGCCCUUUUGUUGGGAAAGAAAUCCAGCUGGCUAAUACCCGGUUGGGAUGACGGUACCCAAAGAAUAAGCACCGGCUAACUUCGUGCCAGCCGCCGCAGUAA